AAGCCCCCCUCCCCCCCUACCCCUACAUUUACUCUACACAACAUCAGUCAAUCUUCCUACCAAAGUCAACUAUUCAAAACCCUACCACCGAAAUGCAGCACCCAUCACCGGACUCCGACCUGCCUCCCCUCGCCGCCAUCAAGGUCCGCUCCUCCUCCCCUCGCUUCCCUCCGCCAACCACCCCACUUUCUACUGAAACUCCCACCGCCAACGCCCAGCGCAAGAUCGGCAUCGCGGUCGAUCUAAGUGACGAAUCGGCUUUCGCCGUCAAGUGGUCCGUCCGUCACUACCUCCGCCCCGGAGACGCUGUUAUUUUGCUCCACGUUCGCCCCACUUCCGUCCUCUAUGGUGCUGACUGGGGCUCCGUCGACCUCUCCAUCGUCGACGCCGAGAAUGAGGAGUCUCAGCAAAAGCUGGAAGAUGAUUUCGACACCUUCACCACUACGAAGGCGUCCGAUCUGGCGCAGCCGCUUGUGGAUGCGCAAAUCCCCUUCAAAAUCCACAUCGUGAAGGAUCAUGAUAUGAAGGAGCGGCUUUGUUUGGAGGUUGAGAGGCUUGGAUUGAGUGCUGUGAUCAUGGGGAGCAGGGGAUUUGGCGCCACAAAGAGAGGGAGCGACGGGAGGCUUGGCAGUGUUAGCGAUUACUGCGUGAGGCAUUGUGUCUGUCCUGUUGUUGUCGUGAGAUAUCCUGAUGAGAAGGACAGCGCUGGAGGUACUGGAGAGCCUGUGGUGUCAGUGGCAUCUGCUGCAGAGGAUGAGGACGAGCCUGAGUAUCAUGAUGCAUCUGACGAUAGAAAAGUUUGUAGGAGUGCAGAACUUGUAUCUGGGGUGAAGGAAGCGAACUCCCAAUUUUCACUAUAGGAGCAAGAAUUGAGUUUUAUAUGGUGGCUGAUGGCCUGAGGACGCUGCAUGUCUCAGCCAGACAAUGGGACAUGGGGAAAGGAAGAAUGAAAGUUUUGGAGAAGGAAGUAACAAUUACUAUAUCAUAUUUAACCAAUUACUGUAUCAAUUUUAUGGUUUAACACCUGCUGAUCAGAUCUGUUUGGUGUUGAUACUCUGAUGAUGACUGGAAGAGACAUUGUGGGUGCUCCUUAUCCUUUUGAGACAGGGUUUCGCAUCUUUUUGUUGGGCCAGCUACCUCUCCCUUAUGUACAUAACUAAAAUAUUCAUUAAGCAGGUCUAUUUGGAGAUAGUGGAUUAAGUUGUUAUUUGUUUGAUGAGAUCAAUAGAACCUUUGAACUGAAGUGGGAAAGAAAUAACAUAAUUGAGGCUCCCAAAGGAAAAGUGAUGGUUGGUUCUUAGUCUUGUUUAAAUAAGAUGACAGGUUUAUUAAAAAACAAUAGAACAUCUGGCUUUGUUUAGAUUAUGGGUUUAGGUACACAUGAAUUCAUUAUUCAUUUCCCAGCCAUGUUCCAUAUGUCAUCCAUGAAAUCAUCAAUCACUUCUAACACCUACCUGAAAAAUAAACAUGGCUUCAUUUGAUAAACACAUGCUGAAAUCUCCCUGUGAUUUGAAUUGGCAAGACUUUUGAUGCUGAGCUGAAAAAGAGAGAAGAUUCCUAAUUAAGACUCGGCUCCAUGGAUCCAUGAUUCCAUUUCAUGCUGCAGCAUGUAGAAGGCAUGGUCUACAAGCAAUACUUCAUUUGCGAGAAUUACUCAGAUACUUGCUAUGUGGAAUAUAAUGUCAUGUAUAUCGGACUGAUGGUACUUUUAUUCCAUAUUAUGUGCUUUUGUAAUGUAACAUUGUUACUUGUAUCUUAGAUGAGUUUUUAGGUGCUGAGUUGAGCAUUACUUGUCAUAUUCCCUCUGCAGCAUCUAUAUGCCUGAGAAUAGUUCUAGAGUAUCCUUGCUCUAGUUAACUAAUGAGUUAGGCAUGCUUGACUUGAAUAAGUACUUUUGUUCAUAUAACAUGGCAGUGGGGCGUGUUCCUUUCUCAAUGAGUUGCGAUGCCAACGGUUAGUGUUUUGUUAUGU